rnacentral:misc_RNA from 1 species
AUUUUGAAGCAUUAAUAUUGCUAUUUGCCUAAAAAGGUCACUGUAAUUUGGUUGUGAUUUACUUAAAGUUUAAGUUCUCAAAUAGAAAAACUUGUGCAUAAUCCACACAAUUUUCUUUUUCAUUUGUUUCUUCAUUAUGCUGGCUUCUGAUGUACUUUCGUAUUAUUUGCAUAAAAAAUAUACUUAGUAAUGAGAUGUUAUGCAUUGACCGCUUAGGCGUAAGUCUUACUAGUGU